UCGUGCAUUUUGUCGUCAAAUUUAAUGUUUUUCGACUGGAACAUCGAAAUUUCCGACAAAAUGCACAUAAA
rnacentral:antisense_RNA from 1 species